AUGAACGCUGGCGGCGUGCCUAAUACAUGCAAGUCGAGCGAACGGACGAGAAGCUUGCUUUUCUGAUGUUAGCGGCGGACGGGUGAGUAACACGUGGAUAACCUACCUAUAAGACUGGGAUAACUUCGGGAAACCGGAGCUAAUCCCGGAUAAUAUUUUGAACCGCCUGGUUCAAAAGUGAAAGACGGUCUUGCUGUCACUUAUAGAUGGAUCCGCGCUGCAUUAGCUAGUUGGUAAGGUAACGGCUUACCAAGGCAACGAUGCAUAGCCGACCUGAGAGGGUGAUCGGCCACACUGGAACUGAGACACGGUCCAGACUCCUACGGGAGGCAGCAGUAGGGAAUCUUCCGCAAUGGGCGAAAGCCUGACGGAGCAACGCCGCGUGAGUGAUGAAGGUCUUCGGAUCGUAAAACUCUGUUAUUAGGGAAGAACAUAUGUGUAAGUAACUGUGCACAUCUUGACGGUACCUAAUCAGAAAGCCACGGCUAACUACGUG
rnacentral:rRNA from 1 species